rnacentral:rRNA from 1 species
AACGAACGCUGGCGGCAUGCCUAACACAUGCAAGUCGAACGAGACCUUCGGGUCUAGUGGCGCACGGGUGCGUAACGCGUGGGAACCUGCCCUUAGGUUCGGAAUAACUCCCCGAAAGGGGUGCUAAUACCGGGUAAUGUCUUCGGACCAAAGAUUUAUCGCCUUUGGAUGGGCCCGCGUUGGAUUAGCUAGUUGGUAGGGUAAAAGCCUACCAAGGCGACGAUCCAUAGCUGGUCUGAGAGGAUGAUCAGCCACACUGGGACUGAGACACGGCCCAGACUGCUACGGAGGGGAGCAGUAGGGAGUAUUGGGCGAUGAGCGAAAGCGUGAUCAAGCAAUGCGGCGUGAGUGGUGAAGGCCUUAGGGUUGUAAAGCUCUUUUACACGGGAUGAUAAUGACAGUACCGGGAGAAUAAGCACCGGCUAACUACGUG